AAGACAGAUUUUGGAAGAUGAUUUGAAAUCGUGGAGCUAUUGAAUACACAUCGCCCCGUGAUCAAUUUGAUAGAUUAUUAACGUUUACUGAUACCUAAAGUUGGAUUACAAAAGUAUUUCGAAGUGUUUUGUGAAAGUUUAUCGUCAACUUUUUUAAUUUUAAAAAAUGACGUAGCGUUUUCAAACGGUGUUUUUUUCUGAAUCACACAGUUUCCAUAGAUGGCUAUUUUGGGUAUAUAUGGACCGAUUUAAUCGGAAAAAAAGACCCAAUAGUGAUGUUUAUGGGACAUAUAGGAGUGCCAACAAAGAAGCUCGUCAAAGGGAAAGUCAUGUUAGCUGAUAUCUGAUAGCUAAUAUCAUCCUUCUCUUGGGUGUUGUCUACUUGUGGACCCUGGGGAAACGCCAGCAUGAAGGCAUGUCCCCUGCAAUGCCUGAAUUGACAGUAUUGAAAGCAGUAGAGUACAUAUUCUGAUGCAGGACCUGAGCCCUAGGACCAUGCCCCAGGACUACCUGACAUGAUGACUCCUUGCUGUCCCCAGUCCACCUGGCCGUGCUGCUGCUCCAGUUUCAACUGUUCUGCCUUAUUAUUAUUCGACCAUGCUGGUCAUUUAUGAACAUUUGAACAUCUUGGCCAUGUUCUGUUAUAAUCUCCACCCGGCACAGCCAGAAGAGGACUGGCCACCCCACAUAGCCUGGUUCCUCUCUAGGUUUCUUCCUAGGUUUUGGCCUUCUAGGGAGUUUUUCCUAGCCACCGUGCUUCUACACCUGCAUUGCUUGCUGUUUGGGGUUUUAGGCUGGGUUUCUGUACAGCACUUUGAGAUAUCAGCUGAUGUAUGAAG
ensembl:lncRNA